rnacentral:tRNA from 1 species
GCCAUCUUAGCUUAGUGGCAAAGCAGCGGUUUCGUAAACCGUCGACGGGAGUUCGAUUCUCCCAGAUGGCUCAA